AUUGAACGCUGGCGGCAGGCCUAAUACAUGCAAGUCGAACGGCAGCACAGCAGAGCUUGCUCUGUGGGUGGCGAGUGGCGGACGGGUGAGGAAUACAUGGGAAUCUGCCCAGUCGUGGGGGAUAACGUAUGGAAACGUACGCUAAUACCGCAUGCGCCCUACGGGGGAAAGCCGGGGACCGCAAGGCCUGGCGCGAUUGGAUGAGCCCAUGUUCGAUUAGCUAGUUGGCGGGGUAAAGGCCCACCAAGGCGACGAUCGAUAGCUGGUCUGAGAGGAUGAUCAGCCACACUGGAACUGAGACACGGUCCAGACUCCUACGGGAGGCAGCAGUAGGGAAUAUUGGACAAUGGGGGCAACCCUGAUCCAGCCAUGCCGCGUGAGUGAAGAAGGCCCUCGGGUUGUAAAGCUCUUUUGUCCGGAAAGAAAGCAAUCGGUUAAUACCCGGUUGUUCUGACGGUACCGGAAGAAUAAGCACCGGCUAACUUCGUGCC
rnacentral:rRNA from 1 species